GGGGACGACAUGGCUUCGACGUGGUCGACUUCGUGGCGGUGGUUGCGAGCCGAGGUGCCAGGAGGCCUCGUAAAACACCUGGCAAAACCAUACGUGCGGACACUCAUCAGUUCGCCCUCGCCUAGUUAGAGAGAUCUACUAGCGAGGUUCUGGGCCCCGCCAGCCGACCGCGGGGGUUCCCGGAAUCAAUAUGUCGGCUCACCCGGGGCGGCCCGCUCCCGCCAAUCCGGGGACAUCUUCAGGGAGCUGGCCCUGGGCAACCCCGCCGGCGAGGCGAGCCCAGGGUGAGACCAGAGCGCCGGAUACGCUCGUAGACGCCACCUUCACGCGAUCGCGGACGCGGGUUCGAUUCCCGCCGUCUCCAUAA
rnacentral:tmRNA from 1 species